rnacentral:rRNA from 1 species
AAUUUCAUCGUGAUGGGGAUAGAUCAUNGCAAUUGUUGGUCUUCAACGAGGAAUGCCUAGUAAGCGCGAGUCAUCAGCUCGCGUUGACUACGUCCCUGCCCUUUGUACACACCGCCCGUCGCUCCUACCGAUUGAAUGGUCCGGUGAAGUGUUCGGAUCGCGGCGACGGGGGCGGUUCGCCGCCCCCGACGUCGCGAGAAGUCCAUUGAACCUUAUCAUUUAGAGGAAGGAGAAGUCGUAACAAGGUUUCCGUAGGUGAACCUGCGGAAGGAUCAUUG